UUUCUCUUCUUUAUAAUUUUCGUAUCGUGAGUGUUGGACGGAAACUACAGUUCACAUUGUGGGGACGGCGGCGGCAGCAGUGACUCUUGGCAAUGUCGGCCGAGUUGAAAGCGGUGGGUGACCGAGGCUUUUCUUUCUCCAGCAGUCUUUGUGCCUUGUUUUUUUAGGUGAUCAGCAGUGUGUUUUGUUCUUUUUAAUCCAUUUAAUGGUUAUUGCAUACAAAGUUUCACAAAGUCUUUGUUUUGUUCCACUAUCACACUUGAAGCACAAAUAAGUAUGGAACAACCUGCAACUUUGGAAUCAGAUCAGGUCAGAAUUCUGGAAAAAAGUACAAAAACAUAGGAAUCAGUAAAUAGGAACAUACACUAACCUCUGCUCUUGAAUCGGACUAGCGCAUGUUGUUUCCGUAGACGGAAUCAGGUCUUGGCGGCAUAUUCAACGGCGGAUGUUGUUGAGGAGGAAUCGGCGAUCAGCAGCCUAACCAAAAACUGAGGACGAAUGGACGAUCGGCGGGUCAACAGCGGGCGACCGUGAGAGAAAAUGGACAGUGGGGUUUGGUUGUUCCUGUCGAAGGAUCGGUAGCCGGUGGCGGGCUUGGGUGGGGAAGAAGGAAUUGGUUCCUGUUUGUGCCAAUAAGGCUGAAGAAGAAGCAAACAAAAAGGGAAGGGUUUUUAUUUUUUACUCUAGAGAGAGAAAAGAGUAAAGAUAUAAUUUGUUGUAAUCAAUCGUGGGUGAUUGAAUUUCCUUUUUAUUUUCUAUUUUUCUAAUUUAAUUUGAUUAGGUACAAUCUAAUCACACUAACAACUUUUACAUCAG
rnacentral:lncRNA from 1 species